GCCGCCGUAGCUCAGCCGGUAGAGCGCCGGCCUCGUAAGCCGGUGGUCGCGGGUUCAAGUCCCGCCGGCGGCUCCA
rnacentral:tRNA from 2 species